rnacentral:rRNA from 1 species
UACAGAGGGGGCAAGCGUUGUUCGGAAUUACUGGGCGUAAAGGGCGCGUAGGCGGCCUGUUAAGUCGAACGUGAAAUCCCCGGGCUCAACCCGGGAACUGCGUCCGAUACUGGCAGGCUUGAAUCCGGGAGAGGGAUGCGGAAUUCCAGGUGUAGCGGUGAAAUGCGUAGAUAUCUGGAGGAACACCGGUGGCGAAGGCGGCAUCCUGGACCGGCAUUGACGCUGAGGCGCGAAAGCCCAGGGGAGGCAAACGGG